GCUUACGGCACACCUCCCUGGCACGCCCGAUCUCGUCUGAUCCGGAGCUAAGCAGGGUCGGGCCCGGUUAGUACUUGGAUGGGAGACCGCCUGGGAAUACCAGGUGCUGUAGCCU
rnacentral:rRNA from 1 species